UGAUGAAAAUGUGAUUAUAAUUUGCUUAAUCAUAUCGAGGAAUAAGAGAUAUUUCCAAUAAAUGUAUUGCCUUUUCAUAUUUAGCCGUAUGCUAUGUCUGCCGAAACGCCAACAGAUCCGACGCUUUCUGUGAGCAAACGGAGAGCCCGGGGAAAAGAAACUCUAAACCUUUAACUUUCCCUCUUAAUCCAAAAAAAAAUUGACAAAUAUUAAGUAAAGUUGAUUCAUUGGAAGAAAAUGAUUGAUCUUAUGUGUAUAUUGAUAAAGCAACGUAACAAAUUAAGGUCUAUGUUUACAUACAUAUGUACUUAUGUAUAUGUUUCUGUACAUCCCAAAACAUUCCUGCAGUUCCACAAUUCAUAGCUACUAAUAAACCAGAUAGAGGGAAUUCAUUCAGCACAGCGGACUCUCUCGCUCUCUCAUUUCAUUUAAAAAUGUAAAGUGAUGAAAAUGUGAUUAUAAUUUGCUUAAUCAUAUCGAGGAAUAAGAGAUAUUUCCAAUAAAUGUAUUGCCUUUUCAUAUUUAGCCGUAUGCUAUGUCUGCCGAAACGCCAACAGAUCCGACGCUUUCUGUGAGCAAACGGAGAGCCCGGGGAAAAGAAACUCUAAACCUUUAACUUUCCCUCUUAAUCCAAAAAAAAAUUGACAAAUAUUAAGUAAAGUUGAUUCAUUGGAAGAAAAUGAUUGAUCUUAUGUGUAUAUUGAUAAAGCAACGUAACAAAUUAAGGUCUAUGUUUACAUACAUAUGUACUUAUGUAUAUGUUUCUGUACAUCCCAAAACAUUCCUGCAGUUCCACAAUUCAUAGCUACUAAUAAACCAGAUAGAGGGAAUUCAUUCAGCACAGCGGACUCUCUCGCUCUCUCAUUUCAUUUAAAAAUGUAAAGUGAUGAAAAUGUGAUUAUAAUUUGCUUAACAUAUCGAGGAAUAAUAGAUAUUUCCAAUAAAUGUAUUGCCUUUUCAUAUUUAGCCGUAUGCUAUGUCUGCCGAAACGCCAUCAGAGCCGACGCUUUCUGUGAGCAAACGUAGAGCCCGGGGAAAAGAAACUCUAAACCUUUAACUUUCCCUCUUAAUCCAAAAAAAAAUUGGGCUCAAGGCUCCAAAGCUCAGGCAUUACGCACCCCAUAAAUUAAAAAAUUGGAACUUUCUGCUGAAUCAUUGAUGCUUAUAAUGGAUGUACAGACAUCGUCACAUCAUAGCAACGGGCUCGGGACAC